AAACCGCCCAGAGGUAAACGGGUGGAUCCGCAAAGUCGGCCCGCGGAAUUCAGCGCGGCGCGCAGACCUGGGCUGUCGUGGUUUGGGAUCCCUGGGACCCAGCCGUGACGUCGUUCGGGGCUCCGCCGCGUGCACUUUCCGCGGGCAGAGUGCCACAACCGGUUCGGCGGCGGCUAAAAGUUUGGAGGGUUGUAGGUGGGGGCGCUUGCGUCCCUACCAGCCCUCCUCUUGCGAGUCGCCGCUGGACCGAGGGAAUGCCGUGCGCUUCGAGGCCACCCUCCCCUCCUUGUGAGUUCGACUGGGAGAGACUGGGCAACCGUGUCUCCCGACCGCUCAUCUGUGAUCGGCGUGGGGCUGGCCGGGCGUGCAUUAUCAAGGUUGGUGGCAAGUAUGUCGGCAUUCCACCCGACCCGUCUUGAA
rnacentral:rRNA from 1 species